rnacentral:rRNA from 1 species
AACGAACGCUGGCGGCGUGCCUAACACAUGCAAGUCGAACGCGAAAAGCAGUAAUGCUGAGUAGAGUGGCGCACGGGUGAGUAACACGUAACUGACAUGUCCUAGAGACAAGGAUAACCGUUCGAAAGGAUGGCUAAUACUUGGUAAGCCCACGGAUUAGGAUCUGAGGGAAAAGGAUCGGGGCCUUUCGAGGCCGAUCGCUUUAGGAGUGGGUUGCGGCCCAUCAGGUAGUUGGCGGGGUAAAAGCCACCAAGCCUAAGACGGGUAGCUGGUCUGAGAGGAUGAUCAGCCACACUGGAACUGAGACACGGUCCAGACUCCUACGGGAGGCAGCAGUGGGGAAUCUUGCGCAAUGGCAGAAAUGCUGACGCAGCAACGCCGCGUGGGUGAUGAAGGUCUUCGGAUCGUAAAGCCCUGUCGAAGGGGAAGAUGCUUGUGCAUGUUAACAGUAUGCAUAGGUGACGGUACCCUUA